rnacentral:rRNA from 1 species
CCUACGGGAGGCAGCAGUAGGGAAUCUUUCACAAUGGGCGAAAGCCUGAUGGAGCAACGCCGCGUGCAGGAUGAAGGCCCUCGGGUUGUAAACUGCUUUUUUAAGCGAGAAAUAUGAUGGUAACUUAUGAAUAAGGAUCGGCUAACUACGUGCCAGCAGCCGCGGUCAUACGUAGGAUACGAGCAUUAUCCGGAGUGACUGGGUGUAAAGAGUUGCGUAGGUGGCAUAAUAAGUAGCUAGUGAAAUCUGGUGGCUCAACCAUUCAGACUAUUAGCUAAACUGUUAAGCUCGAGACCGUUAGGGGUAACUGGAAUUUCUAGUGUAGGAGUGAAAUCCGUAGAUAUUAGAAGGAACACCAAUAGCGUAGGCAGGUUGCUGGGACGGUUCUGACACUAAGGCACGAAAGCGUAGGGAGCAAACGGGAUUAGAUACCCUUGUAGUC